rnacentral:lncRNA from 1 species
AUUCAACAAUACUUCCAUAUUCUUAUCCGAUCAUCUUCCACUUAUUCUCUUUGCAGUUUAUAUAUAUUCAAUUACUAAUCUCCAGCUUAUUUAGUAUAUUUAGUUUCUCAAUUCAUCACACAGGAAUUCAAUAUCUUCACUUAACACAACACAAUUUGAUAAUCUCAAUUCUCAAGGUCACAGAUUUUUUCCAAAUCGAUCAAUCCAAAGUUAUAUUCUACAAUAUUCUAAUAAAAAUUUCAAGAAUACUUCUCUCAAUCACAAUUCUUCAUAAGAAAAUAAUAAAAGUAAAGAAAAAAAAGAGGUAGCACCAAGCUUGUCACGGCUUAUGACUCUCACAGUUUGGCCUCAAUUUUUCUUUUCUCAACCUCUUCAUCCU